rnacentral:lncRNA from 1 species
AAUCAUUUGUAUAACACGUGGUCAGGAAAAGCACAAGGAAGUCAAGGACUACAAGGACUGAUCUACUUCGUGGGUUCACUAUGGUCGUUACAACGAGGAUGGUCUUUUUUUUUGUAAAAGAUGUCGUCAUCUUCCAUUCAGAGUACAAAGUGGCGGGGUGAAACAAACUCUCUCACAGGCUGCCCAUCCUACAGAGAGAUCAGCCGGAUUAUGGAGGACGGACAGAGCAGGACCAAUGAUAAAUAUUUCCAGGAGAUGGGACCGAGAAUCGAACUUAGUCCCAUAGAAUGGAAAGCCGAAGCGUUUCCACGUGGUCAGUUCGGUCCGAUUCGAGAUGAUCAGGAAGGAUGGGAGAUCGUUCUAUGUCCGAUGCAGUCUACUUACAACACAGAAGAAAAUCAUUGCAAACUGUCGUAAGAACAAUAUCGGACGCGCUCAGGCGCUUUCCGAGGCUAAUAUCUUUUUUUUUGUCAACAGAUGACGCCACUUUCUAUUCAUUAAGAAUACUAAGUGGCGGGCGAAACAAG